GGAUUAGAUACCCUGGUAGUCCACGCCGUAAACGAUGUCAACUAGUUGUUCGUGUCAUAAGCGAUGUGAGUAACGCAGCUAACGCACUAAGUUGACCGCCUGGGGAGUACGGCCGCAAGGUUAAAACUCAAAUGAAUUGACGGGGGCCCGCACAAGCGGUGGAGCAUGUGGUUUAAUUCGAUGCAACGCGAAGAACCUUACCAUCCCUUGACAUCCAGAGAAUUUUCUAGAGAUAGAUUAGUGCCUUCGGGAACUCUGAGACAGGUGCUGCAUGGCUGUCGUCAGCUCGUGCCG
rnacentral:rRNA from 1 species